UGGAGCCGACCUUGAAAUACCACCCUUUAAUGUUUGAUGUUCUAACGUGGACCCGUAAUCCGGGUUGCGGACAGUGUCUGGUGGGUAGUUUGACUGGGGCGGUCUCCUCCUAAAGAGUAACGGAGGAGCACGAAGGUUGGCUAAUCCUGGUCGGACAUCAGGAGGUUAGUGCAAUGGCAUAAGCCAGCUUGACUGCGAGCGUGACGGCGCGAGCAGGUGCGAAAGCAGGUCAUAGUGAUCCGGUGGUUCUGAAUGGAAGGGCCAUCGCUCAACGGAUAAAAGGUACUCCGGGGAUAACAGGCUGAUACCGCCCAAGAGUUCAUAUCGACGGCGGUGUUUGGCACCUCGAUGUCGGCUCAUCACAUCCUGGGGCUGAAGUAGGUCCCAAGGGUAUGGCUGUUCGCCAUUUAAAGUGGUACGCGAGCUGGGUUUAGAACGUCGUGAGACAGUUCGGUCCCUAUCUGCCGUGGGCGCUGGAGAACUGAGGGGGGCUGCUCCUAGUACGAGAGGACCGGAGUGGACGCAUCACUGGUGUUCGGGUUGUCAUGCCAAUGGCACUGCCCGGUAGCUAAAUGCGGAAGAGAUAAGUGCUGAAAGCAUCUAAGCACGAAACUUGCCCCGAGAUGAGUUCUCCCUGAGACUU
rnacentral:rRNA from 1 species